rnacentral:lncRNA from 11 species
AAAAAAAAAAAGAAACGCGAUAAUUCUCUUCAAGAACAAUAAAAAUAAAUUAUCUCUCGUUAAUGAUACAUGAAUUACUCAACACUGAAAUAUCCGUCGAACAUUUCUAAUCGAUGCACAAUAAAUCAAAAGCCACCGACAAGUCGCGCCUCCACCGGCCGUGUUUCCAAGCAAAUCGUUCCUCGGGUCGCGCGGUUCCAUUCACUGGCAUUGACGUCACUGUAAGCAACCGAGGUCCCGGUAAACGUGUGCGCACACGGCGACCGUUAGGCAGUAGCAUCCGCAAAACUCGAUCCUUGGGCAGAAUCUGGUUGCGUCACGCGCCGAUACAAGCGAACGGACACACGGACGCUCGUCUCGAAGUCUGGCAGUUUCUUGAUGCAGGCUUCGAUCCCGGCGAAAGAUGAGCAAACUCGAGAUCCGUGAGAGAUUCGCCGUACUUCCUCGAUGGAACGACUUUUCUGACCACUUCUCCACGAACGACCAGUCGAUAUAAGGCCACGAGGAUGCGGAUUUUCUUGCUGUCAAGAAAUCCCGUACAGGGAUCAUCUUUGAUCGAUCGAUAUUCCCGAAUAGACGAGCCAUCUUUAAAUCGAAGCACUUAUUUUUCUUUAUUUUGAGAUCGAUCGUGCAACGUUCUUGUUUGAAAUCCUGUUCCACUGUUAAAUAACUAACCUCUUAAUUGUUAACCUAUUGGCCAUAUAUUCGUCGGAACCGCUGUUUUUCGUGCCACGAUAUAGUAAGACCAGACAGAUGAGGAGCGAAAGAAAGAAAGAAGGUCCAUAGACUGUGAAGGAAAGAUGUAACCUGUUCCAGUUUCCAGGAUCAUCCUGCACUACUACUGUAUAUUCGAGAAAUUGAAUCUGCUGAAAUGUAACACGAGAAUCAGUAUGCGAUUAUCGAAGACUGUGUCAAGUGUCUGCUGGAUCUGGAUAUUCCGACCACCAGACGUUGAUUCUUCAGAUGGUUAUCUUUCAGAAAACCCGUGAGAAUAGGUCGUUCAAUAGCAAGAAAUCCUUCGACAAUCCCAUACACGAAAAACAGAAGAAAUCGUCCCCGACAAAAGAUACAGAAGCACCGAACCAUUCAGGAAGACAGUAACCACACUCCGUCCAAUUACCACUGGAUAACUCGUUGGUAGCCCCAUCCUGAUUUAUCACCGACAUGGUUAAUCGCAUCUCGCCGUGGAGGCCCAAUUAAAACGACCAAACAAACCGAUUAAAAAAAGAAAGAAAGAAAAAAAAGGGACGAAAAAGAAGGCAGCAACCGAAGAAACAAACAUCCACACGCGAUACAGGGUGUUGAUAUAUUCGUGGAACAUCUUUGGGGAAUUGAUUAUUAAGAUAAAAGUUUGUGGUUAAUUUAUAAGCAAUUGAAAUUUGUGUAAGAUAAAAUAAAUAAAAAAAUAAUUUACCAAUAUAUUAAUUUUAAUCUCAAUUAUUUAUAGACAAAAUAAUCAACCUCCAUCUUCAAGUUUUAAAGUAUUCAAAGUUUACCGAAGUCCCAUUGAUUCACAUCAAACAAAGACAUCAAAACAAAAAAAAAGGGAAAUAAAUCUCUUUCGUCAAUAUUAUCCAAACACUUUCGAACCAAUCGAACAUUAAACGUAUUCCGUUUAAAUUAUCGCUCAAUUGUUCCCUCUCCCAUCCCAAACGCCCUUCCCGUGUAAUCCACCCGUAAAAGCUCCACCAAGCAUUACUUUCGACAAAGAAAGUGGGCAGCAUCAUCAACUUUCUCGUGAAAUUCACGAUUACCCUUUUCGCGCUUAGUAGGACAAAAUAUAUCAACGGGAGGCUAAGAACGGCACGAAUCGUCGGUGUACGCCCCUGGUCAUCUGGACACCUCCUCCCUCUGCCAGGGCCUCGUUUCGCCGUCGAGAGAUAGAUGGAGAGAGGGAAGCAUCUCUCUCGAUCCUUGGUUAAGUAGGUCUUGGGAGCGAAGGAAGCGACGAAGGAUGAAGGAGGAUGGUCGGUGAGAGGGAAGAGAGAGAGAGACCGGGCAAAAAGGACAAGAACCGGGCCGAGUAAAAAUCUUGGAAACGUAUGUGAGCCGUUUGCCAGAGAGAGAGAGAGAGAGAGAGAGGGAAAGAGAGGGGAAAUGUGCCCUCUCCUGCGGGCGCUUCUUCUUCGUCGAACCGUGACCAAUAACUAUCGCAAUCGUCCUGAGAUUAACAAGCUCUCCGUGGAUGCUUGUCGAGAUUAUUGGUGCUCUCCAACUGUCAAGGAAUCGAUUUAAGGACGAAAGGAGAAAAGGAAGUGUGGAUAUGCGUGCUUUCGAUUGGGUUUCUUCAUUUGAACGAGAAGAGUUUGAGUAUCUGAGAAUUGAGUAACCGAUUCCCUUGGAAGUAUACAUCAAAGAAGUUAUUAUUCAAUUAUAGAAGGGAAGAGAAUUAUAGACGAAGAGAAUCUGUAAUGACGACCAAUAACGUGAUCAUCUACAAUCAUUAUACAAUUGGUACAUCGAUAAAACCAUCCAUUAUCAAUAACAUAAUAUUCACAAAUGAAUUUAUA